ensembl:snRNA U6 U6 spliceosomal RNA
GUGCUUGCUUUGGCAGCACAUAUACUGAAAUUGGGAUGGUACAGAAAAGGUUAGCAUGGCCCCUACACACAGAGGAUAUGCAGGUUUGUGGAAUGUUCUAUAUAGUA